UCGGACUUCUGCUCUCCAUAUAAAAAUCAAUCUUUAAAUUAACGAAUCUAGUAUGCAUUCUCAAGUCUGUUAUUCAUACACUUCAUAUACUUUUGAUAUUACCUUACAAUUUUAGUCACUAAAGCUGAACGGAACUAGUAAGUACUAGUAUCUGUUUUUUUUACACUAUAAAUCCAAAUUUCUAAAAGCGAUGUUAUGAUUUAGAUAGUUUUUUCGGCCCCAUCUGUCACGUAUGUUUUUCGGGAGAAGCCCACUUGGUUUGACUUUUCUUCUUAGGUUUUGGCACGUCCUUGAGACGUCCAGCCCUUCGCUUGGAUGCCUUCACUACCUUGACCGGCUUCCUUUUGGAAAGAUCGGAUGAGAGUUUUUCGGAUCAGCCACUUUUCCUGAUGUCUUCGGAACCUAGUCAAGCUUCAACUUUAACUUAUUAUACAGAAGGACCUUUUCGCUGUUCCUGCAUUGCUGAUGCCUUUUAAACUAUCUAUCUUCAACUCAAUAGAAGAAGAAGGCAGGAGGGCGUCACCUGUAAGGUGUUUAGGUCAAAAGAACACAUUGUUUUCAGUGCAUCUACGUGCUACGUGCAACAUGCAGCAACAACAAUAUUAGCAGCAACAAAUGCAAAUCAUCCAAAGAGAGAGAGCUUGCUUGAUUUCCACGCCUCUUUAAUACCCCGCACGCGGCAGCCUGCGCCAUUCUGAGGAGCAUCUGAACUUCGACUUUGUCAAUGAGCCCACGUUCCGUCUUCGACUCCGAGUCCAACUCCGACUCCAGCUCUGCUCCUUGGCGGAGGGAUCAGCACCUGGUCGCGACCCCGCUCCCAAAGUUGACGAACGCUCAAUUUUACGCUAAUUCGAUCAGAAUCAAAAUCAAACAAAAUUAGCCUAUGGACAGUCGGCAAAGCGAUGAUGAUCGUGUUAAUACACUCAACUUAUUAAAAUACACCACAUUCUUAAGAGAACCUUUGUUAGACAGUGUUUCUCGGAUUGAUGAUGGAGAAUAUGUAUAUAUCGCUAUGAUGACGACGCUGCUAAUGAUAAUCAUGAUGAUUGUUGUUAUUACCUUACCUGCUUCGGCUUCUGCUUCUGCUCCUGAAAUCUGAUGGCAGUAAAAAUACUUACAAUGCCUCCCUCCGCCUGAGCAUAAUUUAUUUCCUG